rnacentral:rRNA from 1 species
CCUACGGGAGGCAGCAGUGGGGAAUAUUGCACAAUGGGGGGAACCCUGAUGCAGCGACGCCGCGUGAGUGAAGAAGUAUUUCGGUAUGUAAAGCUCUAUUAGCAGGGAAGAAAAUGACGGUACCUGACUAAGAAGCCACGGCCAACUACGUGCCAGCAGCCGCGGUAAUACGGAGGGGGCAAGCGUUAUCCGGAUUUACUGGGUGUAAAGGGAGCGUAGACGGCAGAGCAAGUCUGAAGUGAAAGCCCGCGGCCCAACUGCGGGACUGCUUUGGAAACUGGCCGGCUAGAGUGCUGGGGAGGUAGGUGGAAUGCGUGGUGUAGCGGUGAAAUGCGUAGAUAUUAGGAGGAACACC